GGGCACUUUUCACCAGUAUCCAGUCUGCUAGUGGCUGGGAAAGGGUCCAGCAGAGCCAUGGGCAAGCACUCUCCUACUCGAAGCUGAAGAGCAGUUCUCAUGAUGACAUCUUGUGAAGAGGCUGUUUGGAAAUCUGAUAAGGGUGACUCAAUAUAGUGAGAAGGACUUGUUCCACCUGCCAGGAAUACAUAGAUUCAGUGAAAAGCUUGUCAAGCCUAAAAUACAGCACCUUGCAGGAAUACCACAAACAGUAAGACUUUCUUAAUGAUGUAGCAGCAAG